rnacentral:rRNA from 1 species
GGACUACCCGGGUAUCUAAUCCUGUUUGAUCCCCACGCUUUCGUGCCUCAGUGUCAAUAAAACCGUAGUAUGCUGCCUUCGCAAUCGGUGUUCUGUGACAUAUCUAUGCAUUUCACCGCUACUUGUCACAUUCCGCAUACCUCCAGUUCAUUCAAGCCCAUCAGUAUCAAGGGCACUGCGAUAGUUGAGCUACCGUCUUUCACCCCUGACUUAACAGGCCACCUACGCACCCUUUAAACCCAAUAAAUCCGGAUAACGCUCGGAUCCUCCGUAUUACCGCGGCUGCUGGCAC